rnacentral:tRNA from 1 species
AGCGAGAUUGUGUAAGGGUAGCACGACAGACUCUGACUCUGUUUGUGAGGGUUCGAAUCCUUCUCUCGCUGCCA